GGCCGCGGGAAUUCGAUUCAGGCCUAACACAUGCAAGUCGAGCGAACCCUUCGGGGUGAGCGGCGGACGGGUGAGUAACGCGUGGGUAACCUGCCCUGUACACACGGAUAACAUACCGAAAGGUAUGCUAAUACGAGAUAAUAUAUUUUAGUCGCAUGGCUAAGAUAUCAAAGCUCCGGCGGUACAGGAUGGACCCGCGUCUGAUUAGCUAGUUGGUGAGGUAAUGGCUCACCAAGGCGACGAUCAGUAGCCGACCUGAGAGGGUGAUCGGCCACACUGGAACUGAGACACGGUCCAGACUCCUACGGGAGGCAGCAGUGGGGAAUAUUGCACAAGGGGCGAAAGCCUGAUGCAGCAACGCCGCGUGAGCGAUAAGGGCCUUCGGGUCGUAAAGCUCUGUCCUCAAAGAAGAUAAUGAC
rnacentral:rRNA from 1 species